rnacentral:rRNA from 1 species
GUCUACGGUCAUACCACCCUGAACGCGCCCGAUCUCGUCUGAUCUCGGAGGACAUGUUGGGGAAAAAAGAACUUCCAUGUUUGCUGCUUUCCUUAUUAAAAGUUGCUGUGAUUUUUGUAGAAG